AGCUUUGUGCAGUGGCAGUAUCAUAGCUGGUGAGGUUUAUCCAAGGUGUGAUUAUUGCUAAUUGAAAACAAUGUAAUGUAAAUUUCUAAUUCUUGAAAUUUAUUAUUACAA
ensembl:snRNA U4 U4 spliceosomal RNA